GUUCAACACUGCUAGAAGGGCUGCCAGUGCAGCUGCUACUAGAGCAGCCGACGUCGUGCCCAGGGUGCCGAUCCAGAGUCCCCAGGACAUCACCGAAGGAUCCUGUCUGAUCAUUUGCGACACUGCGAAUGUCCGGAAAAUAAACUGAGGACCUACUGCGCAUGCGCACAGUGUAUUAUGAAGAGACUGUUAUCAAUUCAAAAUCCGAACGCCUAUUGGAAGACAGUCUAGAAGGACACUUUAAAGAGGACAGACGGUUAACGAGGCGAAAACGAAGUCAACAUGGAUUGGAGGAUGAGCACCAGGCUGUGACCGGGAAAGGAAAAAGUAAAAAAGACCCAGAUGGACGCGACCUGCACUCUCUUGGGGAUUCGGUGUUCGCCAAGGCUUGGCCUCGACCCAGUGCUGAGUAACUAGAGCAGCACAGACCAGACCACCUCCCAAUAACGAGAGGAAGAAAGUCGCGAAGAUGGUGCCUCUUCGGAACAUCGACGUCAUCCUGGAGUCGCGGGGAGGACCGCCAGGGUUGCCUCCACCGCCCUUUCUAAAAUUACCAGCUACUCCUGCACGUGGGUAGGAUGUCGAGAGCAGGUAAGAUUCGACGCGUGACGCAACGAGCCAAUACCGGUCGUUUCCUACCGGGUAUUCGCCAUCAUGGCAAGAUCCACGAAGCUGAUGGGAAACUGGGUCAGGUGCCGUCUCUUUCCAACGGCUCGCUCGAUGUCGAGACGCAGACCGCCGCGACGCUUGUCCUUCUCAACUAUUCUCUGGGACGGUAUCCGACUCGCCCACCUGGAAAUACGCCCACGAGAUCCGAGAGACCUGGCGACCGAGAAAACUACUUUUCCUUCACUGUUCCUCGUUGCUCCCACUGGUCCAGAUCUGGAUAGCACUGUUCCAGGAGAUGGUGCACCGGGAAACGAGUGGAAUAGAAAUGUAAAAUUCAAUUUUAUACUCCAACUGUACUCUUUCAUCCUUUGCUCCAUCCUACCAUAAGCCUGCAUACACACAUCACUAUCUAGGAUCUCUUGGGUUUACCAGCCUACGUGAGCCUACACAGCCACUGGCCCUGGGCAGCAGACCGUUCCAUUCGCAGAGACGAGUGAGGUCAGCGGAUAGCAUGAUUAAAUAUUCCGCUAGAAUCCUCAGGAUGUAUAACAUCUUUAACGUGGAUGCAAAAUCUAUAUACCUGAGUACUGGCAGCAUAAGCUCCUUGAGGAUGACGCGAACGAGCGUCGUGGAUCUUGACGGCUUCCGGCACUUUUACUGAGGCACUCCGACGCGAUCGCAGCAGCAGGCUUUCGGCUCGACUGAGUUUCUACCGUGUUACCUCGACUCGACUCACUUACAUCGGGGGGCCCCCGUCCUUUCAGUCUGCCUAUACACUUCUUUCAGUGUGUGCGGCUCGCAGGUGAGACCAGAUGGCAGCACUUACCCUUCUCGAUUUUGCACCUGGCCGGUAGGAAAUAACUUUUACCGGUCGGCUACUUUCUGGAAUUUUAUAUAUAUACAAGAGGGCUAUCAUGCCGUCGCUGAUGUUCUCGAUGUCGAACUUCGGCUCCGCUGGCUCGCUGGUUACUAUUUUCUCCCUGAGGUAGAGCAUACCGAUGUUAGUCAGAUGCAGAGAGACCGGCGCCAAGAGUAACCUGC